rnacentral:rRNA from 1 species
GACGAACGCUGGCGGCGUGCCUAAUACAUGCAAGUCGAACGAACUCUGGUAUUGAUUGGUGCUUGCAUCAUGAUUUACAUUUGAGUAAGUGGCGAACUGGUGAGUAACACGUGGGAAACCUGCCCAGAAGCGGGGGAUAACACCUGGAAACAGAUGCUAAUACCGCAUAACAACUUGGACCGCAUGGUCCGAGCUUGAAAGAUGGCUUCGGCUAUCACUUUUGGAUGGUCCCGCGGCGUAUUAGCUAGAUGGUGGGGUAACGGCUCACCAUGGCAAUGAUACGUAGCCGACCUGAGAGGGUAAUCGGCCACAUUGGGACUGAGACACGGCCCAAACUCCUACGGGAGGCAGCAGUAGGGAAUCUUCCACAAUGGACGAAAGUCUGAUGGAGCAACGCCGCGUGAGUGAAGAAGGGUUUCGGCUCGUAAAACUCUGUUGUUAAAGAAGAACAUAUCUGAGAGUAACUGUUCAGGUAUUGACGGUAUUUAACCAGAAAGCCACGGCUAACUACGUGCCAGCAGCCGCGGUAAUACGUAGGUGGCAAGCGUUGUCCGGAUUUAUUGGGCGUAAAGCGAGCGCAGGCGGUUUUUUAAGUCUGAUGUGAAAGCCUUCGGCUCAACCGAAGAAGUGCAUCGGAAACUGGGAAACUUGAGUGCAGAAGAGGACAGUGGAACUCCAUGUGUAGCGGUGAAAUGCGUAGAUAUAUGGAAGAACACCAGUGGCGAAAGCGGCUGUCUGGUCUGUAACUGACGCUGAGGCUCGAAAGUAUGGGUAGCAAACAGGAUUAGAUACCCUGGUAGUCCAUACCGUAAACGAUGAAUGCUAAGUGUUGGAGGGUUUCCGCCCUUCAGUGCUGCAGCUAACGCAUUAAGCAUUCCGCCUGGGGAGUACGGCCGCAAGGCUGAAACUCAAAGGAAUUGACGGGGGCCCGCACAAGCGGUGGAGCAUGUGGUUUAAUUCGAAGCUACGCGAAGAACCUUACCAGGUCUUGACAUACUAUGCAAAUCUAAGAGAUUAGACGUUCCCUUCGGGGACAUGGAUACAGGUGGUGCAUGGUUGUCGUCAGCUCGUGUCGUGAGAUGUUGGGUUAAGUCCCGCAACGAGCGCAACCCUUAUUAUCAGUUGCCAGCAUUAAGUUGGGCACUCUGGUGAGACUGCCGGUGACAAACCGGAGGAAGGUGGGGAUGACGUCAAAUCAUCAUGCCCCUUAUGACCUGGGCUACACACGUGCUACAAUGGAUGGUACAACGAGUUGCGAACUCGCGAGAGUAAGCUAAUCUCUUAAAGCCAUUCUCAGUUCGGAUUGUAGGCUGCAACUCGCCUACAUGAAGUCGGAAUCGCUAGUAAUCGCGGAUCAGCAUGCCGCGGUGAAUACGUUCCCGGGCCUUGUACACACCGCCCGUCACACCAUGAGAGUUUGUAACACCCAAAGUCGGUGGGGUACCCUUUUAGGAACCAGCCGCCUAAGGUGGGACAGAUGAUUAGGGUG